rnacentral:lncRNA from 1 species
UUAGAUUUGGGCAGGGGCCGCGCGAACGCAGGCCCCCACAGCAACAAAUUAUGACAUAGGCUCGACCACUUAGGUCGACCUUAGGCAGGCACCCCUCCAAAGUGCAAUGGAGGUCACAAGCCUAGGCCAUGGGUCUUAUUGAUCGCCCAUUGACCCCGUCCAGGUAAGUAUGUUCUCCAGUCUGCUCAGCCCAUUACUUACUGCUGCUUUUGCUUCACUUCUCUCUCUUAGAUGCUGAUGUGGGACAAAAUUCAUGAGAAAUACAUCAUUCUAAUAAGUUUUUUUUUUUUUUUUUUUUCUAUUUAAUGGAUUGUAUCUUUGAUUGACUGAGUACUUACACCUUGUUUGAAUAAUAGUUAUAUAUAUUUCGAUAAUAUAUUGUAUCGUAUUAUUUUGAUAAAUGUAAUAUUUGAAUAAAGUGUCGUUCUUCAUCGUUACAUAAUAUCACACAUCGACAAUUUAAAAGAACUUGUUACAGUAUUUUUCUAAAAUAAGAAGAAAAAAAACUAGUAACCUACAUGUUUUAAUCUUCAAAAUGGUUCAAAUUGACCUUGAAAUGUAGAGUAUGACAUUUCUAAUUCAGAAAACAGGAGUAUAAAGAAGAAGAAAACGAAAAAUAUCAGCAUAUUCAUCCAUAUUUUUCCAUAAAUUGGUGUAUUUAGAUUUUAUGGAAGAUAAAUAACAACAGAUAUUAACAUUUCUUGCAGAAAUAUACAAGGGAAAAAAUUAUAAAAUGCUUGUUAUAUUUCCAACAUAUCAGAAGAGAAACUUUUAAGUCACAAGCUAUAAUUUGUUUAAGCAUAAAACUUUCUAAAUAUCUAUUACACUUCUUAAUAUCCCUAACCACACUUUUUCCUUGUAAAAGCUAAAAACACAGGUACAUUAUUGGUUCCUAAGUCACACAGUAAAAUUUUGGCAUUCUAAAAACCUAAUGAGAAAGAAAACAAAUUUUGCACUUCCACAAGCACAUACAAUACCACUUUACAUAUAGUAACUUAGUUGGAUCUCAUAUACUGGACAGUGUAUCGAAGUAGUAUAUCUGAGUUUCAGUAGAAUAUUGCAAUGCAUGUCAUACUUAUUGCUCUCGUGGUCUGGCAAGCCAAAGAGAGCUGAGAGCUCGAAGACGUGAGAAGUAUUCACUUAUUGCAAGUAGAGCACGGGCUGAUUGUCUGGUUGUCAAUAUGCGAUGCAUUUGUUGCAAUGUUUGUUGACGCAGGUUGUCCGCCUGUUAAAAGAGCCAGAAAGAUGCAAAGACUUUUAGCUUCACGUAUUUUGCCUCCAGAGACAACAUAAAACUAAUAUAACAAACCAGAAAUCUCUGAACAUGACUGGCUGUCUUGAAUCAUAUAAUUCACAAGAGAGAUACAAGUAUGAGACAGAAGGAGAAUUAUUGAUUUAAGAAUGUAUUGGCGAACAUAACCCUUCGGUUAUUUUAUGACCUCAUUAAAGGACAUAAAAGGACAAAGUAUCCAGACUUUUUUUCCAAAGAUCAAUACAAACAAGACGUAUUCUGAAGAUUCUGUGGGCAAUGCAUGCUGGUUGCAGUUACAAAGACCUCCAGAACAACAUUUGCUUGCCCCCGACUUCCACAUGUUCAAACAACUGAACGAGCAUUUGCAGCUUAUCUAUUGUAAACAAUUUAAACAAACAAAGAAUAGGAAGCAGCAGCAAAAAUAGAGUUACCUGACGGAGAAAACCUUCAAGGGUCCCUAAUAUCCCCAUAGCCAUUGCCAUCUGACUUAUAUUAUAAGCUGCAUCUCCUGAUGACCCUUCAGUAGCAAGAGAUCCGUAAGCUAAUGUCUCCUCCAAGGAUUGCUGCCACGCCUCCAUAGCUUCUGAAAGACCAUAUUCUGCAUGUUGGGAUGACUGCUGCAAGAUGCCAAUGCCCAUAAGCUGUUGGUCGGUCAGAGGCUCCAACUGAUUGACUAGAAGCUGCAUUACCAAAGAAAUCAUUUCACGAAAAAUGAGACACAACAUACCCAGUGUAAUCCCACAAGUGGAGUCAAGAAAGGAGAGGGUAGGACAUACGCAGACCUUACCCCUACCUUUGUGGGUAGAGAGGUUGUUUAUGAUACUUGAUAGACCCUCGGCUCGAAGGAAAAGAAAAGAAUUUGAAGUAUGGUAGCAACAAAAUAGCAAGGUACAGAGCAAAUGACGAAAAGGAAUAGCAAAAGUUAGGAAUACACAUUAAAGUAAAGGAAACUACAUGAUUACUAAAUAAUACUACUAAUGAGGAGAAGCGUAGAGGAGGCUAGGCCCUGCCUUUCCCACACAAAGUGCGACAACACUCCGCUACCUACUAAGCUGAAGUUGUGUCAUGUCUCGUCUUUAUCACCUCCCCAGUUCUUCCUCGGCCUACCUCUCCCUCUCCUAACUCCUGUUACAAUCAAUCUCCCACACUCCCUUACUGGCGCAUCCAUGCACUGCAUAAUUGGAUAUAAAGAAACUCAUACACAGAAGGGUGUUAUCUACAGAAGCAACUUGAAGUUCUUAAAUUAUCAACAUCUGAUUGACGCAUGAACAAAUGACACAAGAACAGAAGAAAAUAUAAUGUACAGCACUGAUAUAAUUCCUGCACAAACAUCCGUAAACGGACAGAGUGAAAGCAUAUUAACAUCAGAUAAAACUGGAAGUCUGCUAACAUCACCAAGCUGAAGAAGCUCAGGAAACCACAUCCGGGAUGGAUAAAGAUAAUCACACAAUUUCAUCCAAGUUUUUGCUUCUAGGCAUCAGGUUUGUUUAGAGUUGCUAUUAUGCAGUGAACACAAGAAGAAAACCAAAAGCUUCAGUACAAUAAAUGUAAGUCCAUGCCAUUUGAAGGAGAAUGUCAGACCUUAACUAUCCAAGGUCACGAGACUACAGUGAUGGUGUUAUAGAAGAUAGUGACAUAAAAAUGCAAUUGUACACUACAAGCACAAGGCACCUCAUUAGUUCGGAAAGUGAAACCACCCAAUCUUUAGCAAGUAAAUUUUCACAAGCAUAAAUCAAUGAAAUUCCAUACUACUAAGAACUUAUUAGUCCUGCUAACAACAGGACCUUUUCAUACAUGAUAAAACUUGAAAAUUAAAACUUGAAUAACAAAUAAACAAUUAAAACUUGGUAAGAAUCAAGUGAGGUAGGUCUUGACCCACCGAAGUAAUUUUUGGACGGAUCAAUAACCCACCGAUUUAUCAACUCAACUCAUUUUGAUCGGUCUAAAUUCAGCUCAAUCCACCAAUUUGUCACAUGUACUCUUUGUAUUCCAAAAAAUAUGUUUCAGUCAUUAUUAUCUCACAUAUAUUAUGAUAUUUAAUAAGUAAACAAAAAAAAAUAUUAUUCAAGAAAAUAUAUAUGGUAUUUUAUAUGGAUAUUAUAUAUGUUGCUAAUGAAUUAUAAAUAUAAUGGAACAGGUUUUACAGAGACAAGUAAGGGGUGUUGUGGGACAGGAACAGUAGAGUAUGGAGAGAGUUGUAAGGGGUUGAAAACUUGUGGUGAUCGAACAAAGUUUGUGUUCUGGGACGCUGUUCAUCCUUCUGAGAAAAUGCAUAAGAUUAUGGCUAAUGAAGCUCUUAAAGCUAUUAAUGUUGAUUUACUCGACUAAUAAUCAUCUUUUUCUUUUUAAUCAUUUUGUUAAUUAUUGUUACUUGUUUCCUACCAAUAGUUUGUAGUCAUCUUUUCCUCUAUGCUUUGUGCCUUAAUUAUUCGAGAUUAAUUAGCAUGUACAGAAGUUAGCUUAUGCUAUUGGAAACUAAAGACGCUGAGGAAACCUCAUCCGGGAUGACAAGAGAUAAUAACCACACAAUUUUAUCCAAGCUUUUGCUUCUAGGAAUCAGGUUUGUUUAGGAUGCUAUUAUGCAGUGGAUGCAAGAAGAAAAGCAAGAGCUUCAACACAAUAAUUGUAGGUAUGUCCCAUUUGAAGGAGAAUCUCAACCCUUAACUAUCCAAGGUCACGAGACUACAGUGAUGGUGUUAUAGAAGAUAGUGACAUGAAUAUGCAAUUGUACAAUGCAUGGCACCUCAUUCAUUCGGAAAGUGAAACCACCCAAUCUUUAGCAAGUAUUCUAGAUUUUCACAAACAUAAAUCAAUGAAGUUCCACAUAGUACUAAGAAGUUAUUAGUCCUGCUAAUAAUGGGACCUUUUCAUACAUGAUCAAAAAGUAUAACAGCUUUUUAUAAUCAUAUACAGGGGAAGUCUAGAUGGGAUAUAUGGAAGAACGGAUGCAAAAUUGCACGGAAAUGAGAGCAAGAAGAGGUCACCUUAAGCAGUAACGAGGGGCGGAAGCCACCAAUCCACAUACAACAACGCUCAGCAGGGGUUUUCCACAUGCCUGACAAGACAUGGACUACGUCCGCCUUGGCUGCAUUUCCUUUCAUCCUAAAGACCUCAUGGUAAUGUGCAGUGACAAUAUCCACAAUACUUCGCAGUUCAGGAUCACUUGCAUGUGAAUUGACAGCGGUCCUUAACUCAUUGAUGUGUUCGUUGUAUUCUUCUAACCAUCGAAUAUAUUCUGUAUCAAAUGCUACGGGCCCUGCAGAACGGUAGCAUCUGAAAGGUCAUCUUAGCACAAGGAAACAACUUUUUGAGUGCAAUCAGGAAUACGAUAAGGGGUUGAACGUCAUCUUAUUAAGAUAAGCCAGUCUAAUACAAAAAAAAAGUGAUGUAUUAAACUAAAUGCAUAAAGCAGCAACUGAUUUGUCCAUCAUCUUUAUCAUAGCAACCAUCACAAGUGUGAGAAUUAUGAACAUCAACCAAGUCCAUGCACAUUGAGGACCUAUUGGAAGCUGCAAUUAACUUUGUUCCUCAAUUUCAAAUUUAAUGUAAUUCACAGUGUAUCCACACACAGAUGGAUUUCACAAGUUAUACCAUCAGUUAAUGGAAAAAUCAGGAUAACUAACGUUCUGCAAUCUUCUUCAAGUAGAAAAAAACAAAUCAUUUCUAGUCUUAUUUGCUUCCAAAACACAGACCACACAAUAAAGUAUGUUCGACUGCAAUCCUUACUAGAAUUACCCAAAUCCUGUAUAAUAAAGAGUAAUUGCUAAAUAACAAGCAACUCCUGGUUCAAUUUGGUAGAAGAAUCCCAUCAAUUUCUUGUUUGUUGAAAUGAAAAAAGGAAGCUAGGGCACACAAGUUCAACGACAAAAAAAAUAGGCCAUACCACUUUCGCGCUGUUGAGGUGCUCGCUGAAAGUCUUGCUCCAACUGCGAUACCUGGACGACUUGGGCUGGCCGGCGGUCACCCCUCCAAAGUGCAGUGGAGCUCACAAGCCUAGGGCCUUCCCUAUCACCCAUUGCAUCCAUUCAGCUAAAUAUUCUGCAUAAAGAGCUCACCCCAUGACUUACAUAUACUAGAGCUUUUUGCUCCACUUUCGUGGAAAGUAGUUGGUGUGAGCAUAUAAGUAUAAUACAUAAUUCAAGAUUUGUGUUUGGCAGGAGGUAUUCUGUUGAGAUUAUUUAUUCUACUAUUUAUAUGUUUGUAAUGGCCUAAUGAGAUAAGUUAUUUCAUGCAUUGAAUAACAUAUUUCGGAAUAGUUAAUAUUGGGAUAACUUGUUUUCAAUCAAUCUAUUCCCCUCGCUUCUCGACUAGAUCAAAGAGAUGAAUUCUUUUAAGGCAAGUCAAAACUUCGUGUAAUAUUAGGAUAGUAAUUAUAUAAUCUAAUAAUUAUGAUGAUCUAUUUAUUUGUCACAAUGUAAUUAUAAAGUACUACUGUUUAGUUGUAUAAUUGCAAUAAUUAGGCUAUAUUAAAUUUUAUAAAUAAAAGUUAAUUAUCUAAAAUUAAAAUUUAUAUUAGACAAAUAAGAUUUUUAUAAAUUAUAUUAAAUUAAAUAUUAUAUAUUGUCUUUAAAAAUAAUUGAUUUAUAUUUUUAAAUUAGUAUAUUUUAAUUAAUUUAAUCAUAAAAACCGAAAGUACAAGAUUAUGAACAUCAUGAAAUGCAUGUUUGACAGAAAGAUUAAUAUUAUAAAUAUAAUGUCAUAAAGUUAUUAAAAUAUUUGACAAAAAAAUAAUAUAUCAAGUCUUAACUAAAAAAUAAAUGAUUUGCAGUGUAAAAUAUCAAGUCAAUACUAUUAAAACAAAUUAAACUAAAACAUAUAACAUAAGUUCUAAAUUCAAAACUAAAAAUUUAAUAUAAUACUCAUAUGAUUUAAAAUAAGAGUCUUAUAACCUUAUUCAACAAUAAAUUAUACUUUAAUUUAAAAUUAGAAUACUAACAAAAUUAUGCUAAUUAAAAAAUAAGAUAAGAUUGGAGGCUCUUACUUUGGAAAGUCCGAGCAACACUACCUAAAUUACAUGCCUAAAUCAGUUUAUAGGCCCAAUCUUCUUCAUGACAUGUCUUUAUUUUCGGAAUUUUAAGCUUGGAGGCUCUUACUUUGGAGAGUCCGAGUAACACAACCUAAAUUACAUGCCUAAAUCGGUCUAUAGGCCCAAUCUUCUUAAUGACAUGUCUUUAUAUCUGGAAUUUUAAGCUUGGAGCCUCUUACUUUGGAGAGUUCGAGGAACACAACCUAAGUUACAUGCCUAAUCGGUCUAUAGGCCCAAACUUCUUCAUGACAUGUCUUUAUUUCCGGAAUGUUAAGCUUGGAAUGGAGGCUCCAACCACAACAAAAAUUACAUGCCUAAAAUCGGUCUAUGGGCCCAAACUUCUUCAUGACAUGUAUUUAUUUCCGGAAUUUUAAGCUUGGAAGCUCUUACUUUCCCUAUGAUGUACACAGCUGAUCAAGAAGUUCACCUUGUUGAAAGUGUAUGACCAUCACAUUGCGCCAUGCCAUUUAAGAGAUUGCAGCAACCUCAUUUUCCAUUGCUGCAACUUCUCUAUGCUAUUUUUGACCUCAAUAUGCGCAUUUCAAACUUGUUAUACCUCCAUUGGUGUGUGUUUUGUGAUAUCAUCUGGUCACAACAUCAGGGGAAAUAGAGCAUACACCUCAAUAGCUUCAUCUCUCUCAUUGAGGUUCUCAUAACGAGCUUCGUGUUUAACUAGUAUUUCUCACCUUUAGCACAUGUGCUACGCCUUUGCAGCAUAUUCAGCAAUUAUUGUAGAUAUAUAUAUAUAAUGAAAGGAUAUGAUAUUAUAACUGCUAUACAUUCAUGCAGGACAAUUCUGUUGUUAAUUGUUUAGCCAGAGUUGCUUUUCCUGUCAUCAAGUUCUUACUAGACCAGAUAAUUUUGGGCUUAGGUUUGGUAGGGGCUGCGCAAACACAGGCACCCACUGCAACAAAUUAUGACAUAGGCUCAACCACUUGGGCUGACCUUAGGCAGGCACCCCUCCAAAGUGCAAUGUAGGUCACAAGCCUGGGUCAUGGGUCUUAUUGAUCACCCAUUGACCCCGUCCAGGUAAGUAUGUUCUCCAGUUAGCUCAGCCAAUUAUUAAUACUUCUGCUUCUGUUCCACAUUUCUCUUAACUUCUGAUGUGGGAGAAUUACUUAGUACUCUUUAUAGCUUUCUGUUUGGAGAUAGUAAAAAAAAACCAGGUAAUGGAUACUAUUUGUUUCUCUUUGAAUACAAAAAGAACUAAAGAAGCUGUUAGAGAACAGUUCUUCAGAUGCAUUUCCAUAUCUGCAAAACUUGACCGCCUAAAACCUAUGUUCCUCGGACUUUUCAACAACAUUGAAACAUGCGUGUAGAAUCCUCCAAAAGUACUCAUUUUUGGAGGAUCCGAUACGAGUGCAACAACAUUUUUGGAGAGUCCGAGCAAUGUAGCCUAAAGUGUAUCAGACCUGAACCAAUCUAUAUUAGGCUCCAAUCUGCUUCAUGACAUGUCUUUAUUUCUGGAAAUUUUAAGGUCUAAGGCUCUUACUUUAUAUAUGAUGCACUCAGCUCAUAUCGACACAUAAUAUUAAAUAGACGAUCUACAAUAUGGUCAUAUGUUAGUCAAUUUGUACAAUAUUAAUCAAGAACUUCACCUUGUUGAAAGUGAAUGGCCAUCACAUUGCUCCUUGCUGUUUGAUCAUACUCCUUGCCAUUUACGCGACUGCAGCAACCUCCUUUUCCCUUGCUGCAACUUCUCUAUGUUUUUUUGUCCUCAAUAUCCAUUUCCUAUUUCAACAUACAUUUCGAAAGUGAGAGAUAGAAAACAAAAGAGGUAUGCUCUGCGGCUAUGUUUUUUGUGGAAUAUCAUCUGGUGACAACAUCAGUGGAAUAGACCAUACACUUCAAUGGCUUCAUCUUUAUUUAGCUGUAUGAAUUAUUUAGCAAUUUAUUUACCCAAUAAAGGAUGGAAAUGUACAAAAUCAUAGACAGGUGUUAUCGUUGAGACCAAAACAACAUUAACUCCGGAAAACAACAGAAGACCUGACAUUUGAAUUGAAAUCACUCAUCUUAGUUUUUGGUAAUGCAGUCAAAAUAGUAGCAAAAUUUCUCUUUGUCCCACAUCCGCAAAACACAGAGCUGGAGAAUGCUACUUAACUGAAGAAACUGAGUAGAAUGGGCCCGCUUGAACAGGAUCUGUUCUAUAGGCUCGUACCACUGCAUCCUUGAUUUUUAAGGAGACAGGAAACCAAGUCUAGUGGAUGAUUCGUAGCCAUUAGACCGAUUUUUAAGGAGACAGGAAACCAAGUCUAGUGGAUGAUUCGUAGCCAUUAGACCGAUUUUUAAGGAGACAGGAAACCAAGUCUAGUGGAUGAUUCGUAGCCAUUAGACCAGAGCGUGAUUAAUAGCUUCCAUGAUCCUCGGGUCAUGGUGCCAUAGAUGAUCGUUCUUAACCUCGAUCAUGGGUGUUGAGAUGGUCUAAUGGUUGUCUGACAGACUUCAAAACAUUGUUUUUGCUGUUAUGGAAUUUCCCAGCUCUGUUUUUUUAAGCUAAGCAAGGCUUCCAUGGCUGCUAAUUGCUAUAAUCACUAGAAAUCUACUUUUGGUUUUCUUCUCAAUUUCAUACGUUUCUUUCUCCCUUUGGUUUUUCUCAAUUCCAAAGAAUUAAUUUUUGCUCCACCAUAUUUGUUCUUCUUUUGCAUUGAUUAACUUUGUAAAAGUGUGGCAUAUAUACUUGUCGUCUCUAUUUACUUAUCAACUAUUUCAUAAUUUGAUUUCUCCUUUUACUUCUUUUUUAUUAUACUCUCAAUUUAUUAAUAUUGAGUUAAUGUCUUUGGAAAAUAUAGCAAGUAAAUAUGUUUGGAACCCUAUCCAUUAAUAAGAGUAAAAUGAUGAACUCAUUAUAUCAAUCAUUGUUUUAUUAAUAGGUGUGUCGAGUCAAAAUUUGACAAAUAAAUAGGGACGGAAGGAGUAUAUAAGUUUAAUCACAGUGUUCGACAGCAACAAUCACCAAGUAGAAGUAGAGAAAAUUAAGACAAAGGUUCCUCAAACAAAAAGAUAUAACCUGUUCUCAGCUUGAUGUCACUCUAAAUAUUUAUCAAAGGAAACAGCAGAAACCCGUGUAGGUAAUAAGAUUAUGUCUCCAACUUCAUGGUCUUGUGACCAAGUUAAAAUAAAGACCUGCUAAACAGAAGCACAAGUCUCAAGUUAAACUAGCUUAAUCUCUCAUUGCUGCUUCAUGUUCCUAUUCCUCUGGCAAAAAGUUAAGAUAAAAUAUGAAUCAAGGCACUUUAAAUAAGAAAAUAUGAGCAUUCCUCUACUGAAUAAAAUUGAAUAGUUACAGCAUAAUUAAGCAAUGUUAGUUUUCAAAGGGAAAUUUUAACUUAGGUUUGGGUAGGGGCCGCGCGAACGCAGGCCCCCGCUGUAACAAAUUAUGACGUAGGCUCGACCACUUGGGCCGACCUUAGGCAGGCACCCCUCCAAAGUGCAAUGGAGGUCACAAGCCUAGGCCAUAGGUCUUAUUGAUCGCCCAUUGACCCCGUCCAGGUAAGUAUGUAAUCCAGUUAGCUCAGCCCAUUAUUAAUACUACUGUUUUUGCUCCACUUCUCUCUCAGAUACUGAUGUGGGAGAAUUAGUCGAAAUGGCGUUACUCUCUUUAGCAUUCUGUUUUGAAAUAGAAAAAGAAAAUCAACAGAUAACAAAAAGUUCAUGCUCCCGAAGCUGACAUUCUCUCCAGCAUAGAUAACAAAAGGUUAGUCACUAGUAACAUAACAAUCAUCAAAAGAAAUGGAGGAAAAAACUAAAGUCUAUACUCAAAGAGAGCAUUCAAGAGAAAUAAUAAAUCAGAUUUGAGUUAUAAAUGGAUAUGGCUCAAUCAACUGAAGAGUGUUGUCUUAAUUAAACAAGGCAAGUUCUCUAAGAAAGGAUGAAUUUUCGAUAACAUAUAUAAUACACACAUUCUUAUAUAGCAUCACCAGCUUCCUCAGGUCAUGUUAGUUUUCAACUUCUUCAAUCUUAUGUCAGGUUGAUUUUGUUCAGAGUCUUAUUCUGUCCCUUCAACAAGAGUCUAGAAGCUUACAUGAAAAUGUAUACAGUAGCAGCUAAUAGGAGUGUUGACUGUAUAGCCAUUGAUCUUACAAACUGAACGACCAUAAGCAAACCGGCCACACCCUUAUCUGUUUCAGCAGAUGGUGGUUUUGUAUUAGAUCUGCCAAAGCAACUCUUGCCAAUGCCAUAUAAACAGUUCCAAUUUCUGUAGAAGUAAGCCAUCUAGAGCUUAGCAAUCUGUAACUAGUCUCUCAAACAGGUAAUAAUUUGUAGACUAAUGGCCUUUGCCAAACUUAAGAAAAUGCAGCACAAACUCUUGGAAUCAUCCACAAGCUGUAUUGAGCAUUGUAUUUAGACUCUACCAAACGACCCGUAAGGCCUUCACCUAUUUAGUUUAGGGUGUAUGUCAAAACUUAUAACCAUAUUAAACAUGCUGCUUACAAAUUUGACAACAAGUUUUAAUUUACUCUUUAUUUUAUAUUUUCAUCAUUCAUUCUUUGUUUAUUUGAAAUUCAGAUGAGCAAAACAAGUUUUGGGCUUAGAUUUGGGCAGGGGCCGCGCGAACGCAGGCCCCCACAGCAACAAAUUAUGACGUAGGCUCGACCACUUGGGUCGACCUUAGGCAGGCACCCCUCCAAAGUGCAAUGGAGGUCACAAGCCUAGGCCAUAGGUCUUAUUGAUCGCCCAUUGACCCCGUCCAGGUAAGUAUGUUUUCCAGUCUGCUCAGCCCAUUACUUAUACUGCUGCUUUUGCUCAACUUCUCUUAGAUAACGAUGUGGGACAAAAUUCAUGAGAGAUGUAUCAUUCUAAUCAAUUUCUUUUCUUCUUUUUUUCUCUCUAUUUAAUGGAUUGUAUCUUUGAUUGACCAAGUACUUACACUUUGUUUGAAUGAUAGUUAUAUUUAUUUUGAUGAAUGUAAUAUUUGAAUAAAGUGACGUUCUUCAUCGUUACAUAACAUCACACAUCGACGAUUUAAAACAAC